UGAAUACGAGACGCUAAGGCGUCGAAGUAGUGUAUGUCAUACUUCCAAGAAAAGCUUGCACUGUCAUAGAUAAAAAACGCCUGUACCAUAACCGACACAGGUGGGUAGGUAGAGUAUACUAAGGGGCGCGAGAUAACUCUCUCUAAGGAACUCGGCAAAAUAACUCCGUAACUUCGGGAGAAGGAGUGCCUUAUUCGUAAGGUUGCAAUAACAAGAUCCAAGCAACUGUUUAUCAAAAACACAGGUCUCCGCUAAGUCGUAAGACGAUGUAUGGGGGCUGACGCCUGCCCAGUGCCAGAAGGUUAAAGAAGUUGGUUAGCAAUUGCGAAGCUGAUAACUGAAGCCCUGGUGAACGGCGGCCGUAACAAUAACGGUCCUAAGGUAGCGAAAUUCCUUGUCGGGUAAGUUCCGACCCGCACGAAAGGCGUAAUGAUUUGGAUACUGUCUCGGAGAGGGGCUCGGUGAAAUAGACUUGUCUGUGAAGAUGCGGACUACCUGCACCAGGACAGAAAGACCCUAUGAAGCUUUACUGUAACUUGAAAUUGAAAUUGGACUUUAUUCGCGCAGCAUAGGUGGGAGGCGUUGAUUAUAAUCUUGCGGGAUUAUUGGAGCCAUCAGUGAGAUACCACUCUUGUAAUGUUAGAUUUCUAACUUUGAAUCAUUAUCUGGUCAAAGAACAGUUUCAGGCGGGCAGUUUGACUGGGGCGGUCGCCUCCUAAACGGUAACGGAGGCGUACAAAGGUUUCCUCUGAACGGUUAGAAAUCGUAUCUAGAGUGUAAAGGCAUAAGGAAGCUUGACUGUGAGACCUACAAGUCGAGCAGGGACGAAAGUCGGUCUUAGUGAUCUGACGGUACUGAGUGGAAAGGCCGUCACUCAACGGAUAAAAGUUACUCUAGGAUAACAGGCUGAUCUCCCCCAAGAGUUCACAUCGACGGGGAGGUUUGGCACCUCGAUGUCGGCUCAUCGCAUCCUGGGGCGGUAGUACGUCCCAAGGGUUGGGCUGUUCGCCCAUGAAAGUGGUACGCGAGCUGGGUUCAGAACGUCGUGAGACAGUUCGGUCCAUAUCCGGUGUAGGCGUUAGAAUAUUGAGAGGAGCCUUCUUUAGUACGAGAGGACCGAGAAGGACAUACCUCUGGUGUACCAGUUAUCGUGCCAACGGUAAACGCUGGGUAGCUAUGUAUGGAGUGGAUAACCGCUGAAAGCAUCUAAGUGGGAAGCCCACCUCAAGAUAAGUAUUCUCAC
rnacentral:rRNA from 1 species